ACUAUUGUUUAGCUUAAAACGAAGAAUAGUGGCAACAUUGGUUUUGGCUUAAGGCUCAAUUGGUUAAAUCUAAGGUGCAUGUGCAUUAAGCCUUUGAUGAUGUUCUUCAAACACAUCUACUUGUUGAAUCAAGAAUGAAAGCGUGCAGAAAACAAGCUUAUUCAAAGGUCAAAAUUCCAUUUUGAAGAAAAGAAUUGUUAUCUACAGUGGGAAGAUAAUUGGUUUUGUUGCUCAUUGAGUUUCUUCUUUACAUGGAGCAACAUCUGCAUUUAUAAGCUGAGCUGCUUUUAACUUGCUACCUUCCUGGUUGCCAUCUUGCUUCUACUUUUAUCACAAGCUCUUCUUCUUUAGUUAAAUGUUGUUGGCUUCCCCUAGCCGAAGGAUCAUUGUUUUUUUUUUUUGUUAGUAGUGAUUGGUUGAUGACUUUGUGUUAAUGUUUAUGUUCACGUGUUAUGCUCUGCAGGUUGCUGUCAACACUGUAAUUCAAGAUGAGAAAGAUUUCCUUGAUCACAUUAUCAAAUCAACCAACGUGAAGUGCCUCACGGCACCGUCAGCACUGGAUGGCGAGUGUGGAUUCCUGGCAGCCAACUUGUAUGCUAAGAGUGUAUUUGGAGAGGAUGCGUUGGUGAAUGUGAGCAUAGAGAAACAGGCAGAUGGUAAGCUGAGUGGCUACAUCAGGAUAAGGAGCAAGACACGGGAUUGCUCUCAGUUUGGGGGAUAAGAUUACUCUCAAGCAGAAGGGUGGAAGUUGAUUUAUGUGACAUCAUUGUUUCUGUUCUGUGCCAUUACUGGUUCUUGCUCCCAAAGCACAAGGAUUAGGUGCUGCUCCUUUUUUUUUCUUCAUGUCAUUGGAUUCCCUUUGAGCUACACUUAUUACUCUAAGAGGCUGCUGCAACAAGAGCAGUAUUUCUUUGACUCUUCUUUGGCGUGUCUGGACAAGGUUUUUGCUCCAGAUACUCUAUUUUUUUGGGAAACAAAACUUCAAUUGUAGCUAUUUUUUAGUUCUAAGGAUUAUUCAUAAUAGGAUUAUUCAUAUUGUUGUACCAACCGUCGC